ensembl:lncRNA
AUAGAACUAUUUUGGCCUGCCUGGCACCCCGUAAGAGAAAAGACUCUCUUCUGUGACCCUCCUUUGGGGAGCAGGAAACCUUUCCAAUGAGCUGCAUGUCCUGAAGCCUAUGAUUCUCACUGCUAACCGGGACUCCUGCUAGAGAUUAAGUAUGGGUGUGCUGCAGAGCUGGAAAGCAAGUGAUUCAUUGAGCACAGAUGACAUCUGAGGAAUACUAUUGCACCUCUGCUCAGCUAGCAGAGGGGUUGAGAGUGUCCAGCAUCGCUGUACUUUUUGGCACAUCAUCUGAUCAUAGAUCAUUCUCCAUUGAAUGGAAUUAAGUGCUCUCAUCUCAAAUGGGCCUCGAACUUCAGCAUAGUGUGGCCAUUUUCAGUUAGCAGCCUAUCCGCAGGAAAUUGUGACAUUCCUGCUUUAUACGGAAGCAAAUAUUGAAUGUGUGUCAAAUGCAUCUCACCAACAGCCAUUCCUGAGUAAACACAUCAGAAGAUUCUAAUGAAGGUCUGCCGUCAGACGAAACUGUUCUUUUGCACUGUACAAAAAUAUCAACCGACAGCGUUAUGUCAGUGAAGUCUGAGACUACAUAAGGUCAACAUGAU